GAUCCUAGCUCAGGAUGAACGCUAGCUACAGGCUUAACACAUGCAAGUCGAGGGGCAUCAGUUUGGUUUGCUUGCAAACCAAAGCUGGCGACCGGCGCACGGGUGAGUAACACGUAUCCAACCUGCCUCAUACUCGGGGAUAGCCCUUCGAAAGAAAGAUUAAUAUCCGAUAGCAUAUAUUUCCCGCAUGGGUUUUAUUAUUAAAGAAAUUCGGUAUGAGAUGGGGAGUGCGUUCCAUUAGUUUGUUGGGGGGG
rnacentral:rRNA from 1 species